rnacentral:rRNA from 1 species
AGAGUUUGAUCCUGGCUCAGGAUGAACGCUGGCGGCGUGCUUAACACAUGCAAGUCGAACGAACCUUCGGGUUAGUGGCGGACGGGUGAGUAACGCGUGGGAAUCUGCCCUCAGGAGGGGGAUAACGGCUGGAAACGGCCGCUAAUACCCCAUAUGCCGAGAGGUGAAAUGAAUUUCGCCUGAGGAUGAGCCCGCGUCUGAUUAGCUAGUUGGUGAGGUAAUAGCUCACCAAGCCUUAGACGGGUAGCGGGUGUGAGAGCAUGACCCGCAGUAUCGGGACUGAGACACUGCCCGGACUCCUACGGGAGGCUGCAGUAACGAAUAUUCCGCAAUGCACGAAAGUGUGACGGAGCAAUGCCGCGUGCAGGAUGAAUCCCCUCGGGGUGUAAACUGCUGUCAGUGACUAGAAAAAAAAUGAUCAGUCGCAAAGGAAGGACCGGCUAAUCUCGUGCCAGCAGCCGCGGUAAUACGAGAGGUCCGAGCGUUACGCGGAAUUACUGGGCUUAAAGCGUACGUAGGCGGAUCUACAGGUAUCCUGUGAAAGCCCACGGCUCAACCGUGGAAUUGCAGGGUAAACCGUAGAUCUUGAGGUGGCUAGGGGCUCUCGGAACGGUAGGUGGAGUGGUGAAAUGCGUUGAUAUCUACCGGAACGCCAAAGGGGAAGCCAGGGAGCUGGGGCCAUUCUGACGCUGAGGUACGAAAGCGUGGGUAGCGAACGGGAUUAGAUACCCCGGUAGUCCACGCCGUAAACGAUGUGCACUAGGUCGAGGGGGUUUGACGCCGCUCUCGGCUGAAGCGAAAGUGUUAAGUGCACCGCCUGGGGAGUACGGCCGCAAGGCUAAAACUCAAAGGAAUUGACGGGGGCUCACACAAGCGGUGGAGCAUGUGGCUUAAUUCGAAGCAACGCGAAGAACCUUAUCCUGGGUUUGACAUGCAUGGAUUAGCUUCCUGAAAGGGAAGUGACGCGGCUUGCCGUGGAACAUGCACAGGUGCUGCAUGGCUGUCGUCAGCUCGUG